AUUGAACGCUGGCGGCAUGCUUUACACAUGCCAGUCGAACGGUAACAGGUUAAGCUGACGAGUGGCGAACGGGUGAGUAAUGCAUCGGAACGUGCCCGAUCGUGGGGGAUAACGCAGCGAAAGCUGCGCUAAUACCGCAUACGAUCUGAGGAUGAAAGCGGGGGACCGUAAGGCCUCGCGCGAUCGGAGCGGCCGAUGUCAGAUUAGGUAGUUGGUGGGGUAAAGGCUCACCAAGCCGACGAUCUGUAGCUGGUCUGAGAGGACGACCAGCCACACUGGGACUGAGACACGGCCCAGACUCCUACGGGAGGCAGCAGUGGGGAAUUUUGGACAAUGGGCGCAAGCCUGAUCCAGCAAUGCCGCGUGCAGGAAGAAGGCCUUCGGGUUGUAAACUGCUUUUGUACGGAGCGAAAAGGCUCUCUCUAAUACAGGGGGCUCAUGACGGUACCGUAAGAAUAAGCACCGGCUAACUACGUG
rnacentral:rRNA from 1 species